rnacentral:rRNA from 1 species
GAUGAACGCUGGCGGCGUGCCUAAUACAUGCAAGUCGAGCGAAUGGAUUAAGAGCUUGCUCUUAUGAAGUUAGCGGCGGACGGGUGAGUAACACGUGGGUAACCUGCCCAUAAGACUGGGAUAACUCCGGGAAACCGGGGCUAAUACCGGAUAACAUUUUGAACCGCAUGGUUCGAAAUUGAAAGGCGGCUUCGGCUGUCACUUAUGGAUGGACCCGCGUCGCAUUAGCUAGUUGGUGAGGUAACGGCUCACCAAGGCAACGAUGCGUAGCCGACCUGAGAGGGUGAUCGGCCACACUGGGACGGGGACACGGCCCAGACUCCUACGGGAGGCAGCAGUAGGGAAUCUUCCGCAAUGGACGAAAGUCUGACGGAGCAACGCCGCGUGAGUGAUGAAGGCUUUCGGGUCGUAAAACUCUGUUGUUAGGGAAGAACAAGUGCUAGUUGAAUAAGCUGGCACCUUGACGGUACCUAACCAGAAAGCCACGGCUAACUACGUGCCAGCAGCCGCCGUAA